GCCAGUGUGGUGUAGUGGUUUCAGCAUUGAACUACAAUUCUAGAGGUCAGGGAUCAAUUCCCUACUUAGCCA